rnacentral:rRNA from 1 species
CCUACGGGUGACAGCAGUGGGGGAUAUUGGACAAUGGAGGGAACCCUGAUCCAGCGACGCCGCGUGAGUGAAGAAGUAUUUCGGUGUGUAAAGCUCUGUCAGCAGGGAAGAAAGAAAUGACGGUACCUGACCAAGAAGCCCCGGCUAACUACGUGCCAGCAGCCGCGGUAAUACGUAGGGGGCAAGCGUUAUCCGGAAUUACUGGGUGUAAGGGGAGCGUAGACGGUUAAGUAAGUCUGGAGUGAAAGGUCGGGGCCCAACCCCGAGACUGCUCUGGAAACUAUUGAACUUGAGUGCAGGAGAGGUAAGCGGAAUUCCUAGUGUAGCGGUGAAAUGCGUAGAUAUUAGGAGGAACACCAGUGGCGAAGGCGGUUCACUGGACUGUAACUGACGUUGAGGCUCGAAAGCGUGGGGAGCAAACAGGAUUAGAUACCCGAGUAGUC